rnacentral:ribozyme from 1 species
AACCAAAAACAAUUAAAGAACAAAAUGCAGACUUUAUUAAUGAUUGGAAAGAUUCUCCAUCUUCUUCUUUUUCUUCUCCUUCCUCUUCUUCUUCCUCUUCCUCUUUAGACGUGUUUGUGACUGGGGCAACUGGGGCGAUUGGAAGUGAAUUAGUUUAUCAACUUCUUAAAAAUCGAAAUGAAAAUUCUCAUGUGGUUUGUCUCGUAAGAGCGACUGAUGAUGAACAAGCCCUGAAACGAAUGGAAAAUUGUUUGAAAAAAACAAGUGAUGAGGGCGACAGUCUUUCAACAGCUUCUCUUAAAGUUUAUGCAGGAGAUUUAUCAAAACAAUACU